rnacentral:rRNA from 1 species
UACGGGGGGGGCAAGCGUUGUUCGGAAUUACUGGGCGUAAAGGGCUCGUAGGCGGCCAACUAAGUCAGACGUGAAAUCCCUCGGCUUAACCGGGGAACUGCGUCUGAUACUGGAUGGCUUGAGUUCGGGAGAGGGAUGCGGAAUUCCAGGUGUAGCGGUGAAAUGCGUAGAUAUCUGGAGGAACACCGGCGGCGAAGGCGGCAUCCUGGACCGAAACUGACGCUGGGGCGCGAAAGCGUGGGGAGCAAACAGG